rnacentral:rRNA from 1 species
UGGGGAAUUUUGGACAAUGGGGGCAACCCUGAUCCAGCAAUGCCGCGUGAGUGAAGAAGGCCUUCGGGUUGUAAAGCUCUUUUGUCAGGGAAGAAACGGUGGUGGCGAAUAACUACUACUAAUGACGGUACCUGAAGAAUAAGCACCGGCUAACUACGUGCCAGCAGCCGCGGUAAUACGUAGGGUGCAAGCGUUAAUCGGAAUUACUGGGCGUAAAGCGUGCGCAGGCGGUUGUGUAAGUCAGAUGUGAAAUCCCCGGCUCAAGCCUGGGAAUUGCAUUUGAGACUGCACGGCUAGAGUGUGUCAGAGGGGGUAGGAAUUCCACGUGUAGCAGUGAAAUGCGUUAGAUAUGUGGAGGAAUACCGAUGGCGAAGGCAGCCCCGGAUAACACUGACGCUCAUGCACGAAAAGCGUGGGAGCAAAACA